GCCGUGAUCGUCUAGUGGUUAGGACAUUGCGUUUGUGGCCGCAAUAACCCAGGUUCGAAUCCUGGGUCACGGCA
rnacentral:tRNA from 1 species